AAUGAAUUUGAAGUUUUUAAGAAUAAAGUUUAUACAAGUUUUUGUUAACAAAUAUAUACCCGUGAUUAAACCAAAGGGAAACAAACGCAUGGCUUAAAAGCACAAGAACUUGAAAAAUAAUACUAAUACUACAGCCUGAGCAACACAGUACGAACUGCAGUUCUGUGCGACGUAAGACGUCCUGGCUUCGUGACCCAAGUAGUGACGCGAUUGCUUUGACGCAGGUGUCCUCGUCUUCUGGCUCCCCAAGGGUUGCACUAAUGUGUACCUUGCUGUGGGAGAAAGAACCUCAUUAUUAGCCAGACACGUAAUCAAAUGCACAGUCUAAGAACACCCUGUCCACCCCCGUCCCUGGACUAGUAAAUGAAAGCUGCUAAAUUGAGAUCUUUCUGAUCUGAACUUUCAAUAUAUGCAUGUGACAGCACAUCCUAAAGAUUUUUAAAUAAUUCCUGCCAUGGCACUCCCUCUCCCAUCCAUCAAAUGCCACUUCAGUCAUCUGCUCGGUCUGUUCAGAUAAACAACAUAUUUAUUCCAUUUAUCAUUUAGAUUUGCCAUCCUUAGGACCAGGAGUAAGGAACAAAACUUUCUGCCCGGGAAAUGUAAAGCACGUUGCAGUUUGGUCUUAAUUUCCACACAAGUGGCAUGGAUUUUUAAUAGCAAACUAUUUGGGGGGGGGGGAUGUAUUUUGCUGUAGCGUACCAUCUUAUACCGACGUUAGUCUAGGAAUUUGGAUGAUGUUCUGGAAUUUCGUUGUACGUGCCCUGUGAAGAACCGCAUCCGGGGCUUUAGGAGGCGUUCCCAGUCUGCAGUAUCGGAGUCUCGGGCCCACUCACACUUCUUGCACACUCUUUACUCUCCCUCUCCCUCCCUUGCCCAAGCCUUACAUUUCUAGGCGAAGGCUCAGGAGGAAGCAGUGAUGUCCCCCAGGGGGUUCAGAACGAGCGUCUCUGAGGACAGCUUAACCGUGGAGAAUGAGAUUGUGCCGUGCUUGCUAGAUCACAGUCGCGUCGCUCCCUGUGUUGGCUGCGAAUAUUCCGUGUGCCUUAAGAGAGAGCUGGCGAGUUCUUCGCGGGGAGAACCCAGGAGUAGGUGGGGGUGGAGAUUCUUGAUCUCCUGGCGCCUUUGUUGAAUAGCCUCAACCUUCCACUCCUCGUUCCUGUAAGUGAGGGGCAGUGACGCUGAGCUUCCUCCUGACAGCGGCCCCUGGACUGACCGGUGACUGCAAAGUGUGCUGAAAGCCGCCGUGUUUAAGUCUCCAAGUCGCACCUCAUCCUCUGUAUUAGCAUUUGCUGCCGCCAGUCCUCCGUCCUGUUUCCGGGAACCGGCUGUCCGAGCUCCGCGAGCCACCAUCCUGGGCCAUGAUCGCACAGAAAGCUGGAAGAGCACAGACCCCUGAUCACUGCGGAGCUGCUGGCUGGGCGCAGAACCGCCUGCCACAGGGAAAGACAUUCCUAUCUAAUGUAUCCUAGGCAUUGUUUGGAUUUUCUAUUGUAUUUAGUGGAAUGUAACCCCCAGGAUAUUUCACAUGAAAAAUCUGCAUCGUUUUCCAGAAGAGCGUUCUCAAAUUGGUGUCUACAAAGGAAGGACGUGAUCACCAGUGAGGUCAGAACAAUGAUGGAGCUAAAUCCUCGGAGUGGUGAAGCCAGG